UGCAAAUCCCUUUGGAAAAAUAGAAUUUAUGCUCCCACGUCAUUUAUAUGCCUUUGAUAAUUUACCAGGAGCUGUUUAUGGACCAGAGCUGAAAGGCCAAGACUCUGAGCAUCACAUUGGUUUUAAAUUGAGAAGAUGUUGUAUGAAAUCCAGCUUUAUUACCCAUGUGCGGGCAGAAGAAAGGUAAAGAGCUGUCUCCAAGGAGUGGUGACUCUGCCCUGCUGCCUUGUUCACAGGCUGUGCAAGGACACAAUUUCAUUUCAUGAGGAAAUUUCAUUUGGGCCUGUGGAAAAAUCCUAUUUCUCACCUGUGCCCAGGUUGCAGAGCAAGGAGACACCAGAGCUGCCAGAGGAAUAAAGGAAAUAAGGGGAAGACAACCCAAAGGAAUAAAGGGAAGACAACCACAACA
rnacentral:lncRNA from 1 species